rnacentral:rRNA from 1 species
GAUGAACGCUGGCGGCGUGCUUAACACAUGCAAGUCGAACGGUGAAGCCAAGCUUGCUUGGUGGAUCAGUGGCGAACGGGUAAGUAACACGUGAGCAACCUGCCCUGGACUCUGGGAUAAGCGCUGGAAACGGCGUCUAAUACUGGAUAUGAGACGUGAUCGCAUGGUCGUGUUUGGAAAGAUUUUUCGGUCUGGGAUGGGCUCGCGGCCUAUCAGCUUGUUGGUGAGGUAAUGGCUCACCAAGGCGUCGACGGGUAGCCGGCCUGAGAGGGUGACCGGCCACACUGGGACUGAGACACGGCCCAGACUCCUACGGGAGGCAGCAGUGGGGAAUAUUGCCCAAUGGGCGGAAGCCUGAUGCAGCAACGCCGCGUGAGGGAUGACGGCCUUCGGGUUGUAAACCUCUUUUAGCAGGGAAGAAGCGAAAGUGACGGUACCUGCAGAAAAAGCGCCGGCUAACUACGUGCCAGCCGCCGCCGUAA